ACACGAGGAAGGAGGUGGUCUGAAAUUGAAUGACAGACGGACACGUGAGGUGGCUGCCAGCUAGCCGCUACCGCUGACGGAAUUCACUGACCGCGCGAGCGGCGAGCGAAUCCCAGGCAGCUACCCGGCCCCCGAGCCCCCGGUCUGGUCCAGAUCGGACCCGGUGCACAAGCACCGGAAGGCUCGGGGGCCGUUGUGC
rnacentral:sRNA from 15 species